ACGAACGCUGGCGGCGUGCUUAACACAUGCAAGUCGAACGGAAAGGCCCUGCUUUUGUGGGGUGCUCGAGUGGCGAACGGGUGAGUAACACGUGAGUAACCUGCCCUUGACUUUGGGAUAACUUCAGGAAACUGGGGCUAAUACCGGAUAGGAGCUCCUGCUGCAUGGUGGGGGUUGGAAAGUUUCGGCGGUUGGGGAUGGACUCGCGGCUUAUCAGCUUGUUGGUGGGGUAGUGGCUUACCAAGGCUUUGACGGGUAGCCGGCCUGAGAGGGUGACCGGCCACAUUGGGACUGGGAUACGGCCCAGACUCCUACGGGAGGCAGCAGUGGGGAAUAUUGCACAAUGGGCGGAAGCCUGGUGCAGCAACGCCGCGUGCGGGAUGACGGCCUUCGGGUUGUAAACCGCUUUCGCCUGUGACGAAGCGUGAGUGACGGUAAUGGGUAAAGAAGCACCGGCUAACUACGUG
rnacentral:rRNA from 1 species